rnacentral:rRNA from 1 species
ACGGAAGGCAGCAGUGGGGAAUAUUGCACAAUGGGGGAAACCCUGAUGCAGCGACGCCGCGUGAGUGAAGAAGUAUUUCGGUAUGUAAAGCUCUAUCAGCAAGGAAGAAAAUGACGGUACUUGACUAAGAAGCCCCGGCUAACUACGUGCCAGCAGCCGCGGUAAUACGUAGGGGGCAAGCGUUAUCCGGAUUUACUGGGUGUAAAGGGAGCGUAGACGGCGAUGCAAGUCUGAAGUGAAAGCCCGGGGCUCAACCCCGGAACUGCUUUGGAAACUGUAUAGCUAGAGUGCAGGAGAGGUAUGUGGAAUUCCUAGUGUAGCGGUGAAAUGCGUAGAUAUUAGGAGGAACACCAGUGGCGAAGGCGACAUACUGGACUGUAACUGACGUUGAGGCUCGAAGGCGUGGGGAGCAAACAGGAUUAGAUACCCUGGUA